AGAGUUUGAUCCUGGCUCAGGACGAACGCUGGCGGCGUGCCUAACACAUGCAAGUCGAACGAAGUAUAUUUUCGGAUAUGCUUAGUGGCGGACGGGUGAGUAACGCGUGAACAAUCUGCCCUAUACACAGGAAUAGCCUCGGGAAACUGGGAUUAAAACCGGAUAACACUUUUUUCUCGCAUGAGAGAGAAGUCAAAUUGAUUUAGAGGUAUAGGAUGAGUUCGCGUCUGAUUAGCUAGUUGGUGAGGUAACGGCUCACCAAGGCGACGAUCAGUAGCCGGCCUGAGAGGGUGAACGGCCACACUGGAACUGAGACACGGUCCAGACUCCUACGGGAGGCAGCAGUGGGGAAUAUUGCACAAUGGAGGAAACUCUGAUGCAGCGACGCCGCGUGAGUGAAGAAGGUCUUCGGAUCGUAAAACUCUGUCCUUGGUGACGAAAAAAAUGACGGUAGCCAAGGAGGAAGCCCCGGCUAACUACGUGCCAGCAGCCGCGGUAAUACGUAGGGGGCGAGCGUUGUCCGGAUUUACUGGGCGUAAAGGGUGAGUAGGCGGUAAUAUGUGUCAGAUGUAAAAGGCUAUGGCUUAACCGUAGUUGGCAUUUGAAACUGUAUUACUUGAGUGCAGGAGAGGUAAGUGGAAUUCCUAGUGUAGCGGUGAAAUGCGUAGAUAUUAGGAGGAACACCAGUGGCGAAGGCGACUUACUGGACUGUAACUGACGCUGAGUCACGAAAGCGUGGGUAGCAAACAGGAUUAGAUACCCUGGUAGUCCACGCUGUAAACGAUGAGUGCUAGGUGUUGGGUAGCGAUAUUNNNNGCCGNNGUAAACACAAUAAGCACUCCGCCUGGGGAGUNNNNUCGCAAGAC
rnacentral:rRNA from 1 species